GUAGGGAAUAUUGCACAAUGGGGGAAACCCUGAUGCAGCGACGCCGCGUGAGUGAUGAAGGCCUUCGGGUCGUAAAGCUCUGUCGUAUGGGACUAACAAAAUGAAGGUACCAUGCAAGAAAGGAUCGGCUAACUUCGUGCCAGCAGCCGCGGUAAGACGAGGGAUCCUAGCGUUGUUCGGAAUUAUUGGGCGUAAAGCGGGUGUAGGCGGGCCUGUCAGUCAGGUGUGAAAUCCCAGGGCUUAACCCUGGAAGUGCACUUGAUACUGCAGGUCUUGAGUGUGGUAGAGGCUAUUAGAAUUCUUGGUGUAGUGGUGAAAUACGUAGAUAUCAAGAGGAAUACCGGAGGCGAAGGCGGAUAGCUGGGCCAACACUGACGCUGAGACCCGAAAGCGUGGGGAUCAAACAGGAUUAGAUACCCUUGUAGUCC
rnacentral:rRNA from 1 species